rnacentral:rRNA from 1 species
AAUGAACGCUGGCGGCAUGCCUUACACAUGCAAGUCGAACGGCAGCGUGACCUAUCUUGCGAGUAUGAUGGCGGGUGGCGAACGGGUGAGUAAUGCAUCGGAACGUGCCUAUUUGGGGGGGAUACCGUGGCGAUAGGUACACUACUACCUCGUAUUGUCUGAGGAGGAAAGCGGGGGACCUUCUGUCGGUGCGCUAGAAGAGCGGCGGAUGUCGGCUUAGCUAGUUGGUGAGGUAAAGGCCCACCAAGGCAACGAUCCGUAGCGGGACUGAGAGGAUGAUAGGCCACACGGGGACGGAGACACGGACCAGACGCCUGCGGGAGGCCGCAGUGGGGAAUGUUGGACAAUGGGCGGAAGCCUGAUACAGCCAUGCCGCGUGAGUGAAGAAGGCCUUCGGGUUGUAAAGCUCUUUCGGCUGGGAAGAAAUCGCACCCUCUAAUACAGAGUGUGGAUGACGGUACCAGCAUAAGAAGCACCGGCUAACUACGUG